CCUCAUUCAGAGAGCCUUCUUUU
rnacentral:miRNA from 1 species